CGAGCCGGGCGGGCGGCCGCGUGGAGUCCCCCUAGGGGGCUUCCCGAGGAACGUCCGGGCUCCACAGGGCAGGGUGGUGGCUAACGGCCACCCGGGGUGACCCGCGGGACAGUGCCACAGAAAGCAGACCGCCGGGGCUGUGCUCUUUUACAGAGUGCGGUCCUCGGUAAGGGUGAAACGGUGGUGUAAGAGACCACCAGUGCCCAGGGUGACCUGGGCAGCUAGGUAAACCCCACCCGGAGCAAGGUCAAAAGGAGCGCCGUGAAACGCGCUCUGCGCGGACGUUCGAGGGCUGCCCGCCCGAGUCCGCGGGUAGACCGCACGAGGCCGGCGGCAACGCCGGCCCUAGAUGGAUGGCCGUCGCCCCGGCACCCGCGAGGGUCCCGGGGAACAGAACCCGGCGUACAGCCCGACUCGUCUG
rnacentral:RNase_P_RNA from 1 species